UACGUAGGGACCAAGCGUUGUCCGGAAUCAUUGGGCGUAAAGCGCGCGUAGGCGGCCCGGUAAGUCCGUUGUAAAAGUCGAAGGCUCAACCUUCGAAAGCCGAUGGAUACUGCCGGGCUAGAGUACGGAAGAGGCGAGUGGAAUUCCAUGGUGUAGCGGUGAAAUGCGCAGAUAUCAGGAGGAACACCAAUGGCGAAGGCAGCUCGCUGGGACGGUACUGACGCUGAGACGCGAAAGCGUGGGGAGCAAACAGG
rnacentral:rRNA from 1 species